rnacentral:rRNA from 1 species
GAUGAACGCUAGCGGCAGGCUUAACACAUGCAAGUCGAGGGGUAGGGCAGCAAUGCCUGAGACCGGCGCACGGGUGCGUAACGCGUAUGCAACCUACCUUUUACAGGGGGAUAGCCCAGAGAAAUUUGGAUUAAUACCCCAUGGUAUAAUUUGAUGGCAUCAUUAGAUUAUUAAAGUUCCAACGGUAAAAGAUGGGCAUGCGUCCUAUUAGCUAGAUGGUAAGGUAACGGCUUACCAUGGCUACGAUAGGUAGGGGUCCUGAGAGGGAGAUCCCCCACACUGGUACUGAGACACGGACCAGACUCCUACGGGAGGCAGCAGUGAGGAAUAUUGGACAAUGGGCGCAAGCCUGAUCCAGCCAUGCCGCGUGCAGGAAGAAGCAUCUAUGGUGUGUAAACUGCUUUUGUACGGGAAGAAACACCCCCUCGUGAGGGGGCUUGACGGUACCGUAAGAAUAAGGAUCGGCUAACUCCGUGCCAGCAGCCGCGGUAAGAC